AUUGAACGCUGGCGGCAUGCUUUACACAUGCAAGUCGAACGGUAACAGGCCGCAAGGUGCUGACGAGUGGCGAACGGGUGAGUAAUGCAUCGGAACGUGCCCAGUCGUGGGGGAUAACGCAGCGAAAGCUGCGCUAAUACCGCAUACGAUCUAUGGAUGAAAGCGGGGGACCGUAAGGCCUCGCGCGAUUGGAGCGGCCGAUGUCAGAUUAGGUAGUUGGGGGGGUAAAGGCUCACCAAGCCAACGAUCUGUAGCUGGGCUGAGAGGACGACCAGCCACACUGGGACUGAGACACGGCCCAGACUCCUGCGGGAGGCAGCAGUGGGGAAUUUUGGACAAUGGGCGCAAGCCUGAUCCAGCAAUGCCGCGUGCAGGAAGAAGGCCUUCGGGUUGUAAACUGCUUUUGUACGGAACGAAACGGUCCUGGUUAAUACCUGGGGCUAAUGACGGUACCGUAAGAAUAAGCACCGGCUAACUACGUGCCAGCCGCCGCGGUAA
rnacentral:rRNA from 1 species